rnacentral:rRNA from 1 species
GAUGAACGCUGGCGGCGUGCCUAAUACAUGCAAGUCGAGCGAACAGACGAGGAGCUUGCUCCUCUGACGUUAGCGGCGGACGGGUGAGUAACACGUGGAUAACCUACCUAUAAGACUGGGAUAACUUCGGGAAACCGGAGCUAAUACCGGAUAAUAUAUUGAACCGCAUGGUUCAAUAGUGAAAGACGGUUUUGCUGUCACUUAUAGAUGGAUCCGCGCCGCAUUAGCUAGUUGGUAAGGUAACGGCUUACCUAGGCAACGAUGCGUAGCCGACCUGAGAGGGUGAUCGGCCACACUGGAACUGAGACACGGUCCAGGCUCCUACGGGAGGCAGCAGUAGGGAAUCUUCCGCAAUGGGCGAAAGCUUGACGGAGCAACGCCGCGUGAGUGAUGAAGGUCUUCGGAUCGUAAAACUCUGUUAUUAGGGAAGAACAAAUGUGUAAGUAACUAUGCACGUCUUGACGGUACCUAAUCAGAAAGCCACGGCUAACUACGUG